UACGUAGGCAGCGAGCGUUAAUCGGAAUUCCUGGGCGUAAAGUGUGCGCAGGUGGCUUCGCAAGUCGAGUGUGAAAUCCCCGGGCUUAACCUGGGAAUUGCGCUCGAAACUACGGAGCUGGAGUAUGGCAGAGGGAGGUGGAAUUCCACGUGUAGCGGUGAAAUGCGUAGAGAUGUGGAGGAACACCAAUGGCGAAGGCAGCCUCCUGGGCCAAUACUGACACUCAUGCACGAAAGCGUGGGGAGCAAACAGG
rnacentral:rRNA from 1 species